AUGGUGGCAAAUGGGACUAGAUUAAUUUAGGAUAUCUGCUUGGCAUGGAUGAAUUGGACCGAAGGGUCUGUUUCCAUGCUGUGCAACUCUGACCCUAUCUCCAAGAGUGGUCAAGGUGAUGACCAGAGGUUGAGGUAGGAUUCGCAUUUCAUUAUUGGAAAUAUGAGAGUCAGCCCAGGGUGCUCAGCUGCUACUUAUUAUUACUAAGUGCAACUUUAACAACAUUUCCACCCCCAGGGCUUAUUCACUGAGUAUCGUGCGUGAAUAGAUGGACGAUUUUCAGUACAGUCUGCUGACUCGGCUAUACUGCAAACUGCAAGAGCAACACUAAUCUAACGCUGAAGGUUGUAUUACUACCUUGCAAUGCACAAUUGAAGCCAGCUAUUAUUUAUAAGCUCCGAGUACCCCCCUCAUGGGAUGGUCCAGGAGUGUGCUGUCUGUUGACCCUCAUGUUCCAGCUGCAGCCUUUAAAUGGGAGCAUCUGUCAAGGUGGUGCAGCAGACCUACUGAAACAAUGGACCAUGUGAGUGAGUUGAUGCAAAAAUCAUAGAAUCCCAUAAAUUUACAGCAGGCCAUUUGGCCCUCCUGUCUGUGUUGGCUGGCAAGGUACCAUCCAGCCUAAUCCCAUAAUCCAGGACUUGGUCCCAACCAGCAUUUGGUUGCUGUCCUUAUUGCUCUUGAACUGAGUGGCUUGCCAGGCCACUUCAGAGGGCAGUUCCAUAUUGCUGUUGGUGUGGGGGCAAAUGUAAGUAAGGAUAACUGAAGUCUAUCUAGAUUGUCAAAGGACGUUCAUGAACCAUUAAAACAAUUGUUACGAUCAUCAUUAGACUCGCUUUUAAUUCAAGUCCUACCAUCUGCCAUGGUGAGAUUCAAACACGUUUCUCCAGGACAUUAGUUUGGGAUUCUGGAUUACUAUUCUAACAACAGUAACACAACGCCAAGCCUCUCCCUGCGUUUGAUUUGUUCAAGUGCAUAUCCAAGUUUUGAGAAAGGAUCACUGGACCCAAAAUGUUAACUCAGCCGGUCUGGCAGUAUCUCUAGAGAGAAAGCAGAGUUUUUUCCAGCAAUUUCUGUUUUCAUUUCCAUGUUUUUUUUUCCUAAGAGUUUUGAGGGUUUCUACCUCUGACACACUUUUUUCAGGCAGUGAGUUCCAGGUGUCCCGUUCUUUGGGGAAACAACUGUAUCCUUUGAAUUCUCCUCCAGAUGUCCUAAAUCCAUAGACCUUGGUUAUGGAGCACUCAACUAAGGGAAUUAGGGCCUUUCUAUACUCUUUAUAUAGACCCCUCAUAAACUUUUAUGUUUCAGUGAGAUUUCCCCGCAGACUUUUUUCCAUUCACUCGUGGGACAUCAGGUGGCACUGGCUGGACCAGCACUUAUAACCUGCUGCUGUUCCAAAGAAAACAGUCCUGGUGUAUCCAGUGUUUCAUUCUUCUCUUCUCCAGACAGCAUCCUCGUUUUCUUUCUUGUAAAGAAAGAAGUAUCCCUAUAAGAGGAAUUCUGGUCAGUGUGUGAACAUCUCUGUUGGUCUUUCAUGGGUAGAUGGAUGAAACAGCUAGAAUGGAAUCUUCAACUUUAUGGAGUUGUACCUUCUUUUGCCAGGCUGUGUGUGAGAGAGAGAAGGAGCAUCAGGAGAGACUUAUCUCCACAUACAUUCAGUCUUUGACUGACAAGCUGAACAGUGAACAGAGUGAAAUCUGACCUGACAUUCCAAUGCAUUAGUGAGGGUGUGUUGCACUGUCAGAGGUGCCAGCUUUCAGAAGAGACCUUCAACCAAGGCGCCACCUGCCUACUCCAGUGGGUUUGAGAGAUCCUGUGACACUAUUCUGAAGAAAAGCAAGAAGAAAAGUCAACAACCUGAAACAUUAACUCAUUCCUCUUUCCCCAGAUGCUGCCAGACCUGCUCUGUACUUCCAAUGUUCUGUGUUUUAUAACAAGGAGGUCUCUCUUGUCAAUAUUUGUGUUUUGAUCAAUGUUAGAGAUUAGGUGAUUUAUUUAUCGCAUUACUGUUUACAGAAGUUUGCUACAUGCACAUUGUCGUGUAGGAAAGAGAAGCCAAUAUGACAACACUUCAGAAGUACACUCACUGUAAAGCGAGUACUUUCUGAUAAUCUGCAGUCAACAGGUGCUGUAUAAGCGUAAAUUUUGGUAGGGGAGAUGUUGCUGACUUCUAGUUUCUAGAUUAGGCUGUGGAAAUGUUCUUGCUGGAGUGCUGUGUGGCUGAAGAACAGCAUGUUCACCAAAUCCAUGUCUUUGUAAAAUACCAUACUUUGCAGCACAGCAAACAAAUUGGAGAAUUAUGCGAUGGAAAAAACUGGCAACUUGCAACAAUGAAAUGUCUUAGGGAUCUAUGGAGUGGAGGUACAUUCCUCUGACCCUCUGCAUUGCCAGGAAAAUUAAGAUUUUAAUAUUUGUUCUCUCAUUUUGCUGCAUUUUUGUGAACCAACUUUUAUGCAUAUAUAGGCCAAUCUUAUUUUUAAAAAGCAAACAGAUACUGGCUUUUACCAUAAAACUGUAAAAGAGGGAAUUGCCAAUGCAAUGCUAAAUCUAGAAAUACACCAGCUGAAUUACGAAGCAUUAGUCUUAGAUUGUCCUGUCCUCCUGGAGAGAGUUUGGAGGUAAAGAGAGAAGGUGCAGCACAGACUCCCUGGGAAUACUGCUUUAAUUUGAGGAAAUAUGGGAAGGAACAUGGAGCUAAUUUUAUUAUAACAGAGGAGACUACUGGAUGAUUUGAGAGAGAAGUUUGAAAAUAAGAAGGCAUCAGACGUGGUUGCGCUGGCUGGGGACAUAAAAUGGACAUUAAAAGGUUGAAUUUAAAAGAAUUGAGGCGAGAACCAGAGGAAACCAUUUUGUGUAGACCCAUCACGAAUAAAUUAUGAAAGUAUGAUAGGGACAUGGGCUUAGAAUCCAUGAGGAUAAAUGCAACAAACUGAUUAUACAGGAUGACUGGUUUCUAUUUUACGAUUCUUGCAGGAUUUUGAGUCAAUAUGCAGCAACAAGGUAUUGCUAACAUCUUAAUUCAUGUUAUCCAACAUUGUAUUCUGAUCUCAUUAAAUUGACCAGUUUAUUUCUAAAUUGGAUUGUUAUUGUACUAUGAAAAGGAUUAGUAUUCAAACUAUACAUAGAUAUGCAAUUCUUAUAUUUUGACUUGCCAACAAAAAAAAAGAAAAAUCAUUUUCCCUGUCUUGGAUUAAAAUACUUUCAUGCUAAUAAGCUUUUUAAAAAUUACAGUGUAAACUUCUGUGACUAAAAGAGUUUUGUUUGCUCGUUAACAAAGUUGUGAAAUGAGAAAAGCCUUCAGUGUUUGAUAAUUGGCUUGAUCUCACUUCAAAUUGCUUCUUGGGUGCUAUCACCCCCAUUCUCAACCCCAUUCUCCCACUUUCUCCCCGUAACUCUUGAUCCUCUUGACAAUCAAAAACCUAUCUAUCUCUGUCUUAAAUAUACUCAACGACCUGGUCUCCACAUCCUUCUGUGGCAGUGAAUUCUGGCUGAAGAAGUUUCUCCUUAUCUCCAUUCUAAGAAGUCUUCCCUUUACUCUAAGGCUGUGCCCUCAGGUCCUAGUCUCUCCUACCAAUGGAAACAUCUUCCCAACAUCCACUCUGUCCAGGCCAUUCGGUAUCCUGUAAGUUUCAAUUAGAUCCCCCUCCCCGUCAUCCUUCUAAACUACAUCAAGCAUAGACCCAGAGUCCUUGAACGUUUCUCAUGUUAAGCUUUUCAUUCCUGGGACCAUUCUCGUGAACCUGCCCCAGGGCCAGUACAUCUUUCCUGAGAUAUGGGGCCCAAAACUGUGCACAAUACUCCAAAUAUAGCUUGAGCAGAGCCUUAUAGAGUCCCAGAAGUACAUCUCUGCUUUUAUAUUCAAGUCCUCUGAAAACAAAUGCCAAAGUUGCAUUUGCCUUCCAAGCUACUGACUCAAUCUGCAGGUUUACAUUGAGAGCAUCCUGGACUAGAACUCCCAAGUCUCUUUGCACUUCAGACUUCUGAAUUUUCUCUCCAUUUACAAAAUAGUCUAUGCUUCUAUUCUUCUUACCAAAGUGCAUGGACUCCCGCUUUCCCACGUUGUACUCCAUCUGCCACUUCUUUGCCCACUUUCCUAACCUGUCCAAAUCCUUCUGCAGCCUCCCUGCUCCCUCAAUACCACCUGUCCCUUUACCUUUUUUUUUCUUUAUUCAUUCAUGGGAUGAGGGCGUCGCUGGCUAGGCAGCAUUUAUUGCCCAUCCCUAAUUGCCCAGAGGGCAGUUAAGAGUCAACCACAUUGCUGUAGGUUCGGAGUCACAUGUAGGCCAGACCAGGUAAGGAUGGCAGUUUCCCUCCCUAAAGGACAUUAGUGAACCAGAUGGGUUUUUCUGACAAUCGACAAUGGAUUCAUGGUCGUCAUAGAUUGUUAAUUCCAGAUAUUUUAUUAAAUUCAAAUUCCACCAUCUGCCCCAGGACAUUACCUGGGUCACUGGAUGAACAGUCCAGCGAUAAUAUCACUAGGCUAUCGCCUCCCCUUAUCUUUGUAUCAUCUGCAAACUUAGCAAGAAUGUCCUCAGUUCCUUCAUCUAUAUCAUUAAUUUAUAAAAUGAAAAGUUGCAGACCCAACACUGACCCUUGUGGAACACCACUUGUCACCGGCUGCCAUCCUGAGAAAGACCCCUUUAUCCCCACUCUCUGCUUUCUGCUAAACAGGCAAUCUUCUAUCCAUGCUAGUACCUUGCCUCUAACGCCAUGGGCCCUUAUCUUACUCAGUAUAUUUAACAUUGUAUUAAAUGAAAAAUCUACGCUUUACAGGUAUUUACUGUCAUGACUUGCGUCUUAAGAGAGGAGCUGCUUUCUUCAAAAUUCCCAUUUGUUUUGCACAUCAAUGAUACAUUGUAAUCAGAAUGGGAUAUGGUGUCAGACAGACACGAAUAAAGAUAUUUGUGAUCAUUAAAUAGCUGAAUGAUCUUGGCUAAAAGUAAAACUUUGAAUUGCUGUGCAUGUCAUUAAAUAUUUAUGCUCAAGUGUUGCAAAAUGGACAAAAUAAAGUGUGGCAUCUGUAAUCUGGGAAGUUGUGGCUUGUCUUCAGUCAAGGGCAGUGCUUUUAAAAUUACAAAAGCAAAAUCCUAAAGAUGCCAAAUGAUUUUUAAUUGAACAGUAGAUAAUCUGUCAUGAUGCUUUGCUAGUAGAAAUUGGACUGCAUGGCAGUUGAUUACAAUCAAGGUUCUCUGGAAAGCUCUGCAAUAAUUAUUUAAGUGGUCUACAUUGUAAUUUUAAGGUUUGAAAAUUGUAUCAGAUUUUUUUGAGAGCUAUUGUUCUUGCAUUUAAUGAAAAAUAAUCAUUAAAGAUUUUUGAGUUUUUAA